AUGAAUAGGGGCGAAGCGGUUGAAUUGGCUUCCAUCGAAAUCGAUAUUUCCUCUGCCUCUUAUCUUUUAUUUAUAUUUAAGGCACUCGAAGCAUAUUGGAAAGUUUCCAGUAGAGCGGGAAGGAGGCUUAGUCAAAGACUUUCAAGAGCUUGUUGGAGGCAAUUUUUCAAAGGAAAGGGAAGAGCCCGGCAAAGUCCGAAAAAAGAGAUUGAAUACCCGGAAUUCGCCGAGAAACCCCUCCCUUUGAAGUAA